GACGAACGCUGGCGGCGUGCUUAACACAUGCAAGUCGAACGGAAAGGCCCUGCUUUUGUGGUGUGCUCGAGUGGCGAACGGGUGAGUAACACGUGAGUAACCUGCCCUUGACUUUGGGGUAACUUCAGGAAACUGGGGCUAAUACCGGAUAGGAGCUCCUGCUGCAUGGUGGGGGUUGGAAAGUUUCGGCGGUUGGGGAUGGACUCGCGGCUUAUCAGCUUGUUGGUGGGGUAGUGGCUUACCAAGGCUUUGACGGGUAGCCGGCCUGAGAGGGUGACCGGCCACAUUGGGACUGAGAGACGGACCAGACUCCUACGGGAGGCAGCAGUGGGGAAUAUUGCACAAUGGGCGGAAGCCUGAUGCAGCAACGCCGCGUGCGGGAUGACGGCCUUCGGGUUGUAAACCGCUUUCGCCUGUGACGAAGCGUGAGUGACGGUAAUGGGUAAAGAAGCACCGGCUAACUACGUG
rnacentral:rRNA from 1 species